UUUGCCGCCAUUUAACAAUUGUUUUAAAAGCAAUUCUAAAACAUCUUUCUACAUUUAUUUAUGUUCCUAGGAAUGUGCAUGAAUGGCAUACAGUGAAGUCCAACUUUUACCAAGUAGCCGGUAUGCCCAAUGUUCUUGGUGCUAUAGAUUGCACCCAUAUUGCUCUUAGACCACCAUCCCUAAGGGAGGAGCAAUAUAGGAACAGGAAAAGCUUUCAUUCCCUAAACAUACAGGCUGUGUGUGAUGCAAACCUUAGAAUUUGGGCUGUUCGAUCUGGGUUUCCUGGAUCAUGUCAUGAUUUCCACAUCCUAAAACAAUCUGCACUAUUUUCUGCUUUUGAACAGGGCAACAUGCCACACGGUUGGCUAUUAGGUAAAUAUGAACUUAUUUCCAUAUAAUCUAAUUAUAAUGCAAUCAGUUCUCUGUAUUUUUUGUAAGUUUUUUUCUGAUUUGCACUUUAUACAUGUCAUUAAUAUAUAUAAGAAUUAUGAUUAAUUGUAAUGUUUAAAUUAUUUAUAAUCUCUAAUCAAUUUUUCUUUUGAAAAAAUAGGUGAUAGUGGUUAUCCGUGCCGAACUUGGCUGUUGACACCUGUCCCAAUGCCACAUACCAGAGGAGAAAUUAAAUUUAAUGAAUCCCACCGUAGCACAAGAAGUGCUAUCGAAAGAACUUUUGGGGUUUUAAAAAUGCGUUUCAGAGUUUUGGAUAGGUCUGGAGGAGCACUUCAAUAUUCGCCUGAAAAAUGUAAUGAUAUAAUUCUAGUUGCAUGCAUGUUGCACAACAUUGCAAUUUCCCAAGGCAAUUUAGAGGAGGAGUGUCCCAAUGAUCCCACAGAUGACACUUAUAUCCCUCAAGAAAUUAUAGGCAGACACACUACAAGGGCAGGUGUACAAAAUAGAUUGGAAAUUAUUGAAAGAUAUUUUUCAUAAUACAUGUCAUCACCCCGAGUUUUAAUUAUUUUAUAAGAAAUGUACACAAUUCUUUGAUAUUGAAGUUAACUCCACCCAUUUGAAAAAAUAAAACUUUUGCUUAUUUAUCAAAAA